rnacentral:sRNA from 1 species
AUGUACCAUGCGUCCACUGCGGUUGUGAGCGCGCCGUCCGCGCCCACCUGACAGCUGCUCGCGACGUUGUGUUAGCC